rnacentral:lncRNA from 1 species
GCCAGCAGCAAGGAAGUGUUUGGGGCCAACCAGGUAGCAAACACCAUCCAAACAGGUUCUUACUGACUGGGAGGCAGAGAGGAGCACACAAGCCCCAUCAUGGUGCUGGUGAUGGUGGUGAUGAUAGGCAAGGCUGGGGUUGAAAGUCCCGCACCGUGAGUCAGAGGGAUGGGGAGAAUCUGCCCCAAGCAGCUGCAGCCCUCAGACACAUGUGGGCUGAGUGUUUCUUGAUUGCAGAUAAUUCAAUUCAUGUGGGGACGAAGGGGAAAAACAAUAAGAAGAGAGUUUCAGAAAGGCCUAGGUUGUUGUGCUCUGGUCUUGUAGCUGGUGGCCUGGGAGAUGGUUUGGGUGGUAGGUGCUGGAAGCUAAGGCCACUUCUAGAAUCUCAGAAAUCAAUGCUAUGGAUCCUUUGA